rfam:Ciona savignyi cont_28723, whole genome shotgun sequence.
GGUCCUGCGGCCUAAUGGAUAAGGCGCCUGACUACGAAUCAGGAGAUUCCAGGUUCGAGUCCUGUCAGGAUCG